GCUUCCGCUUGAAGAUGAGCUUGCGUCUGAUUAGCUAGUUGGUGAGGGUAAAGGCCCACCAAGGCGACGAUCGGUAGCCGGUCUGAGAGGAUGAACGGCCACAUUGGGACUGAGAACGGCCCAGACUCCUACGGGAGGCAGCAGUGGGGAAUCUUCCGCAAUGGGCGAAAGCCUGACGGAGCAACGCCGCGUGAACGAUGAAGGUCUUAGGAUCGUAAAGUUCUGUUGUUAGGGACGAAGGGUAAGAAUCAUAAUAAGGUUUUUAUUUGACGGUACCUAACGAGGAAGCCACGGCUAACUACGUGCCAGCAGCCGCGGUAAUACGUAGGCGGCAAGCGUUGUCCGGAAUUAUUGGGCGUAAAGGGAGCGCAGGCGGGAAACUAAGCGGAUCUUAAAAGUGCGGGGCUCAACCCCGUGAUGGGGUCCGAACUGGUUUUCUUGAGUGCAGGAGAGGAAAGCGGAAUUCCCAGUGUAGCGGUGAAAUGCGUAGAUAUUGGGAAGAACACCAGUGGCGAAGGCGGCUUUCUGGACUGUAACUGACGCUGAGGCUCGAAAGCUAGGGUAGCGAACGGGAUUAGAUACCCCGGUAGUCCUAGCCGUAAACGAUGGAUACUAGGUGUGGGAGGUAUCGACCCCUUCCGUGCCGGAGUUAACGCAAUAAGUAUCCCGCCUGGGGAGUACGGCCGCAAGGUUGAAACUCAAAGGAAUUGACGGGGGCCCGCACAAGCGGUGGAGUAUGUGGUUUAAUUCGACGCAACGCGAAGAACCUUACCAAGACUUGACAUUGAUUGAAAGACUUAGAGAUAAGUUCCUUCUCUUCGGAGAACAAGAAAACAGGUGGUGCAUGGCUGUC
rnacentral:rRNA from 1 species